rnacentral:rRNA from 1 species
AUUGAACGCUGGCGGCAGGCCUAACACAUGCAAGUCGAGCGGAGCGGGGGACGGGUGAGUAAUGCCUAGGAAUCGGCCUGGUAGUGGGGGAUAAAAUCCGGCAACAGGCGGUAAUACCUCACACUUUCAGAUGAGUCUAGGUCGGAUUAGCUAGUUGGUGGGGUAAAGGCCGACCAAGGCGACGAUCCGUAACUGGUCUGAGAGGAUGAUCAGCCACACUGGAACUGAGACACGGUCCAGACUCCGACGCGAGGCAGCAGUGGGGAAUAUUGGACAAUGGGCGAAAGCCUGAUCCAGCCAUGCCGCGUGUAUGAAGAAGGUCUUCGGAUUGUAAAGCACUUUAAGUUGGGAGGCGUUACCAUCAGAAUAAGCACCGGCUAACUUCGUGCCAGCAGCCGCGGUAAUUC